rnacentral:rRNA from 1 species
UAUGGUAAGCCAGCAGCCGCGGUAAUACGUAGGUGGCGAGCGUUAUCCGGAAUGAUUGGGCGUAAAGGGUGCGUAGGUGGCAGAACAAGUCUGGAGUAAAAGGUAUGGGCUCAACCCGUACUGGCUCUGGAAACUGUUCAGCUAGAGAACAGAAGAGGACGGCGGAACUCCAUGUGUAGCGGUAAAAUGCGUAGAUAUAUGGAAGAACACCGGUGGCGAAGGCGGCCGUCUGGUCUGUUGCUGACACUGAAGCACGAAAGCGUGGGGAGCAAAUAGG